GUGUCUUAGGCGGUUCCAGCCGUUAGUCACAGGGCGGCCGGACUACAAUCCCAGCAUACAACGGGAGUGGAGGUGGUGACCUUGAGAGAGGGCCUGUGCUGUGCGCGCCUCACCGGGCAUGCUGGGAGCAGUAGCAUCUUAGCUGCUUCCGGCCGCUGGUCGCAGGGCUGCGGGACUACAAUCUUCGCAUGAAAUGGAAGAGAGGGUGGUGCGGAUAGCUUGAGAAAGGAACACUAUAAGGCCUGUUAGAGAAGAAAGGGUAGAAUCCCGAGAAUGUUUUCCCCACAGUGCUGAUAAGGAGAGACCACUAUCCCAUCUACUGCUACAGCUCUGGAGACAUAGCUCUCCCAUCUGUCAUAUAGAACACAAGGACCAAUCUGCAGAGAAAGAGCAUCCAAACCUGAUCCAGUGGACACUGGGGAAAAACUCACCACAGCUGAGUGUGGAAAAACAAGGCCAACACACACAUCUCUGCACAGAUACAUCU
rnacentral:lncRNA from 1 species